UUGGAGGGCAAGUCUGGUGCCAGCAGCCGCGGUAAUUCCAGCUCCAAUAGCGUAUAUUAAAGUUGUUGCAGUUAAAAAGCUCGUAGUUGAAUUUCGGGAUCAAUAUUUCGGUCAUGCCGUUGGUAUGCACUGUUAUCAUUGAUUUCUCACCUUCUAAAGAACCGUAAUGCCAUUAAUUUGGUGUUACGGGGGAUUAGGACUGUUACCUUGAAAAAAUUAGAGUGUUUAAAGCAGGCUCACGCUUGAAUACAUUAGCAUGGAAUAAUGAAAUAGGACAUCCGAUUCUAUUUUGUUGGUUUCUAGGAUCGAUGUAAUGAUUAAUAGGGAUAGUUGGGGGCAUUAGUAUUCAAUUGUCAGAGGUGAAAUUCUUGGAUUUAUUGAAGACUAACUACUGCGAGAGCAUUUGCCAAGGAUGUUUUCAUUAAUCAAGAACGAAAGUUAGGGGAUCGAAGACGAUCAGAUACCGUCGUAGUCUUAACCAUAAACUAUGCCGACUAGGGAUCGGAUGAUGUUAAUUUUUUAAUGACUCAUUCGGCGCCUUACGGGAAACCAAAGUGUUUGGGUUC
rnacentral:rRNA from 1 species